rnacentral:rRNA from 1 species
UGGGGAAUAUUGGGCAAUGGGCGCAAGCCUGACCCAGCAACGCCGCGUGAAGGAAGAAGGCUUUCGGGUUGUAAACUUCUUUUGUCGGGGACGAAACAAAUGACGGUACCCGACGAAUAAGCCACGGCGAACUACGUGCCAGCAGCCGCGGUAAUACGUAGGUGGCAAGCGUUAUCCGGAUUUACUGGGUGUAAAGGGCGUGUAGGCGGGAUUGCAAGUCAGAUGUGAAAACUGGGGGCUCAACCUCCAGCCUGCAUUUGAAACUGUAGUUCUUGAGUGCUGGAGAGGCAAUCGGAAUUCCGUGUGUAGCGGUGAAAUGCGUAGAUAUACGGAGGAACACCAGUGGCGAAGGCGGAUUGCUGGACAGUAACUGACGCUGAGGCGCGAAAGCGUGGGGAGCAAACAGG